GCCCGGCUAGCUCAAUCGGUAGAGCGUGAGACUCUUACUUCCUGUACCAACAGGUUAGAACGGAUAUCUCAAGGUUGUGGGUUCGACCCCCACGUCGGGCU